rnacentral:rRNA from 1 species
UUCCAGACUCCUACGGGAGGCAGCAGUGGGGGAUAUUGGACAAUGGGGGAAACCCUGAUCCAGCGACGCCGCGUGAGUGAAGAAGUAUUUCGGUAUGUAAAGCUCUAUCAGCAGGGAAGAAAGAAAUGACGGUACCUGAGUAAGAAGCCCCGGCUAACUACGUGCCAGCAGCCGCGGUAAUACGUAGGGGGCAAGCGUUAUCCGGAUUUACUGGGUGUAAAGGGAGCGUAGACGGCAGUGCAAGUCUGGAGUGAAAGGCGGGGGCUCAAUCCCCGGACUGCUCUGGAAACUGUACGGCUGGAGUGCGGGAGGGGCAGGCGGAAUUCCUGGUGUAGCGGUGAAAUGCGUAGAUAUCAGGAGGAACACCGGCGGCGAAGGCGGCCUGCUGGACCGCGACUGACGUUGGGGCUCGAAAGCGUGAGGAGCAAACAGGAUUAGAUACCCGGGUAUGC